rnacentral:rRNA from 1 species
AAUGAACGCUGGCGGCGUGCCUAAUACAUGCAAGUCGAGCGAACGGACGAGAAGCUUGCUUCUCUGAUGUUAGCGGCGGACGGGUGAGUAACACGUGGAUAACCUACCUAUAAGACUGGGAUAACUUCGGGAAACCGGAGCUAAUACCGGAUAAUAUUUUGAACCGCAUGGUUCAAAAGUGAAAGACGGUCUUGCUGUCACUUAUAGAUGGAUCCGCGCUGCAUUAGCUAGUUGGUAAGGUAACGGCUUACCAAGGCAACGAUGCAUAGCCGACCUGAGAGGGUGAUCGGCCACACUGGAACUGAGACACGGUCCAGACUCCUACGGGAGGCAGCAGUAGGGAAUCUUCCGCAAUGGGCGAAAGCCUGACGGAGCAACGCCGCGUGAGUGAUGAAGGUCUUCGGAUCGUAAAACUCUGUUAUUAGGGAAGAACAUAUGUGUAAGUAACUGUGCACAUCUUGACGGUACCUAAUCAGAAAGCCACGGCUAACUACGUG